rnacentral:rRNA from 1 species
GAUGAACGCUAGCGGCAGGCUUAACACAUGCAAGUCGAACGGUAACAGAAAAAGCUUGCUUUUUGCUGACGAGUGGCGAACGGGUGCGUAACGCGUAUGCAACCUACCUUUAACAGAGGGAUAGCCCAGAGAAAUUUGGAUUAAUACCUCAUAAUAUCACGAGAUCUCAUGUUUUUGUGAUUAAAGCUUCGGCGGUUAAAGAUGGGCAUGCGUGACAUUAGCUAGAUGGUAAGGUAACGGCUUACCAUGGCAACGAUGUCUAGGGGGUCUUAAAGGAUGAUCCCCCACACUGGUACUGAGACACGGACCAG